rnacentral:rRNA from 1 species
UCGCCAUUGCCUCAGUAACGGCGAGUGAAGCGGCAACAGCUCAAAUUUGAAAUCUGGCCCCAGGCCCGAGUUGUAAUUUGCAGAGGAUGCUUUUGGUGCGGUGCCUUCCAAGUUCCCUAGAACGGGACGCCAGAGAGGGUGAGAGCCCCGUACAGUUGGACACCAAGCCUUUGUAAAGCUCCUUCGACGAGUCGAGUAGUUUGGGAAUGCUGCUCAAAAUGGGAGGUAUAUUUCUUCUAAAGCUAAAUACCGGCCAGAGACCGAUAGCGCACAAGUAGAGUGAUCGAAAGAUGAAAAGCACUUUGAAAAGAGGGUUAAACAGCACGUGAAAUUGUUAAAAGGGAAGCGCUUGUGACCAGACUUGCGUCCGGUGAAUCACCCAGCUCUCGCGGCUGGGGCACUUCGCCGGCUCAGGCCAGCAUCAGCUCGCUGUCGGGGACAAAAGCUUCAGGAACGUAGCUCUCUUCGGGGAGUGUUAUAGCCUGUUGCACAAUACCCUUCGGCGGGCUGAGGUACGCGCUCCGCAAGGAUGCUGGCAUAAUGGUCAUCAGCGACCCGUCUUGAAA